rnacentral:rRNA from 1 species
GAUGAACGCUGGCGGCGUGCCUAAUACAUGCAAGUCGAGCGAACAGACGAGGAGCUUGCUCCUCUGACGUUAGCGGCGGACGGGUGAGUAACACGUGGAUAACCUACCUAUAAGACUGGGAUAACUUCGGGAAACCGGCGCUAAUACCGGAUAAUAUCUUGAACCGCAUGGUUCAAUAGUGAAAGACGGUUUUGCUGUCACUUAUAGAUGGAUCCGCGCCGCAUUAGCUAGUUGGUAAGGUAACGGCUUACCAAGGCAACGAUGCGUAGCCGACCUGAGAGGGGGAUCGGCCACACUGGAACUGAGACACGGUCAAGACUCCUAAGGGAGGCAGCAGUAGGGAAUCGUCCGCAAUGGGCGAAAGCCUGACGGAGCAACGCCGCGUGAGUGAUGAAGGUCUUCGGAUCGUAAAAAUCUGUUAUUAGGGAAGAACAAAUGUGGAAGUAACUAUGCACGUCUUGACGGUACCUAAUAAGAAAGCCACGGCUAACUACGUG